GCCCGGCUGGCGCAAUGGUAGCGCGCGAGACUUCUACGGAAGACCCUUCCUUCGGGAACUUUGAUAGGUUGCAAUACCUUGGGUUGUAGUGUAUCUCGAGGCUGCGGGUUCGACCCCCGCGUUGGGCU
rnacentral:tRNA from 1 species